rnacentral:rRNA from 1 species
AUUGAACGCUGGCGGCAUGCCUUACACAUGCAAGUCGAACGGCAGCACGGGGGCAACCCUGGUGGUGAGUGGCGAACGGGUGAGUAAUGCAUCGGAACGUGCCCGGACGUGGGGGAUAACGUAGCGAAAGUUACGCUAAUACCGCAUAUUCUGUGAGCAGGAACGCAGGGGAUCGCAAGACCUUGCGCUUUCGGAGCGGCCGAUGUCGGAUUAGCUAGUUGGUGGGGUAAAGGCUUACCAAGGCGACGAUCCGUAGCUGGUCUUAGAGGAUAAUCAGCCACACUGGGACUGAGACACGGCCCAGACUCCUACGGGAGGCAGCAGUGGGGAAUUUUGGACAAUGGGGGCAACCCUGAUCCAGCCAUGCCGCGUGAGUGAAGAAGGCCUUCGGGUUGUAAAGCUCUUUCGGACAGAAAGAAAUCGCAUCGGCUAAUACUCGAUGUGGAUGACGGUACUGUCAUAAGAAGCACCGGCUAACUACGUGCCAGCCGCCGCGGUAAAAC